rnacentral:rRNA from 1 species
AGUGAACGCUGGCGGUAGGCCUAACACAUGCAAGUCGAACGGCAGCACAGUAAGAGCUUGCUCUUACGGGUGGCGAGUGGAGGACGGGUGAGGAAUACAUCGGAAUCUACUUUUUCGUGGGGGAUAACGUAGGGAAACUUACGCUAAUACCGCAUACGACCUACGGGUGAAAGCAGGGGAUCUUCGGACCUUGCGCGAUUGAAUGAGCCGAUGUCGGAUUAGCUAGUUGGCGGGGUAAAGGCCCACCAAGGCGACGAUCCGUAGCUGGUCUGAGAGGAUGAUCAGCGACACUGGAGCUGAGACACGGUCCAGACUCCUACGGGAGGCAGCAGUGGGGAAUAUUGGACAAUGGGCGCAAGCCUGAUCCAGCCAUACCGCGUGGGUGAAGAAGGCCUUCGGGCUGUAAAGCCCUUUUGUUGGGAAAGAAAAGCAGCAGGUUAAUACCCCGCUGUUCUGACGGUACCCAAAGAAUAAGCACCGGCUAACUUCGUG